ensembl:snRNA U1 U1 spliceosomal RNA
ACACUUACCUGGCAGGGGAGAUACCAUGAUCACGAAGGUGAUUUCCCCAGGGUGAGCCUUAUCCAUUGCACUUGGGAUGUGCUGACCCCUUCGAUUUCCCCAAAUGCAGGAAACUCGACUGCAUAAUUUGUGGUAGUGGGGACUGUGUUCGUGAUCCUAC